ACCAACAUAAUCUCACAAAUUAACUCAAAGUCCGGUACAACCAUGGCACAAGGACGAAAUAAAGCCUUUAGAUUUUCCGUGCAACUACGUUUACAUCGGGUGAGCGGAUCAAUUUGAGCUACGACAGAGGAAGAAAAUUGUUGAACUUAUGUAUAUGCAUACCAUGCAGGUUCUUGUGUGGACUGAAUGAGCAAGUGAAAAGUAAAGUACUCUCUCGACGAGCCAAAACCAAACUCUACAAGUCAGGCAUCAUUGGUGCAAAAGCUUUGACGAUGUCGAUAGUCGAUGAGUCCUGCAAUCUGCUAGAAGGAUCAAAUGGAGUGCGACCCGGUUUCGCUAGGUAUUUCCAACAUGGACCAGAACCAGAACUGACAAGCAAACCAAUAACAUUAAAAUGCAACAAAGAAGCAAAAGUCUUGUAAAUUGACUGAAUGUGAUCAGCUGAUAUAGUAUGAUCACGAGACUUCCAAUCAAGUCGAGUGGUUAACUUUGGGAAGCUCAAAGUUCGAGUCGUGGCCUCACCAAUAUCAGAAACAAUAAGAUGUUAACUUUUCUAUCUAUUUCUGGCAUACAAAUUCUAAACUCUUCAUAAAUAACCAUCAGCCGUUCAGUGGCGGCUUAGUAUAAGCUCUCGGUCACUCCAUUUAUUGAAAAACAUCCGAAAUUUGAAGGAGGAACUCGGCCGAAGUUCACUUCAGCUAUUCAGCUUCUUCUAAUAAGCGGCUCACUUCUCAAUAUAUUUCUUCUUGAAACACGCUACGGAAUUAAUGUAUUUUGUGUAGUAUGUUGCCUCUUUGCGGUCAAUAUUAAAAUAAAUUCGUAAAACUUUA